AAUGUGAGCAAGAAAGUUGAGAGAAAACUUGAGAGGAAAAAGUAAAUCGCCGGAGUCCUCGUCGGAAAAUCACUAACGAAAUUCAUCCUCUACCGAGACUAACACUCUAGAGCUUCUUCUUGGAGAGAAGAAAGACUCGUGUUGUUGAGGUUCCAUCUUCCGUCAAGAUCCGAGAGAAAUCCGCAAGGGAAGAUCCACCACUGAUUUUGUGAGGAAAUCGGACGAAAUGUUGAGAUUUGAGAAUCUUUCCAAGAACGGAGGAGAGAGAAGACGACAACGUGCCAUGUGUCAACCAGCGAAAGGUCUCUCGUGCGCUGAUAGCCACCGGACACUCGUUGAAUGCCUUCUGGAGCGACGCAGUUCUAGUCUUCCAGCGACACGCGUCCACAGCGGCGACACUCAGCCCGCGUCCCUCAACCAAUCCAACACUCGCUCGAUGAGACGAACCGCUACGACCUGCAGUCCACCCAAACCGAACCGACGACCCGCGGCUGCAGAAUAACGUGUGCGCGUGGAACCUGUGAGUGAGUUUGUCCAUGCUCAUGGCAGGCGCGUGGAAGCAUGUGUAAGCCCGUUUUCGUCCUGUUCAGGUCCUGUUUUCCCUAUUUUCCACUCGAAUCCAAUCCUAACUCUACUUUAUAUGAAAUAGAAUCCUAUUGAGGAAAAAUCAGUACCUUUUGAUAUGCUAAUUGUGUGGAAACGCAACGUAAGGGCACGCAUCAUCCAAGUAAGUCACCACACGGAUCUUUAGGAAGAAAUACUUGUAGGAGUCGCUUGGAUAUGCAUGCAUGCUAGUUUAAUUACCUUAGGUAGUACUUUUCCAUGUUUGAUUGUAGGUAAUUUGUUUGUUAAAAUUAUGGAUGUUUUAUGAGAAGU